CAGGACUCGCAAGACUCCUACAACCCUGUGAACUUCACUAUAAGCACGUUGCUUCGGCGGGUGUCGCGGCGCGGGUCUUCCCGCACCGGGGCGCGGGUCUUCCCGCACCGGGGCGCUAAGCCCGCCGGCAGCCUACUAUACUCUGUUUCUCUGCGUUGGCAUCUCGAGAAAAAACAAACAAGUUA
rnacentral:misc_RNA from 1 species